rnacentral:rRNA from 1 species
UACGGAGGGUGCAAGCGUUGUUCGGAAUUACUGGGCGUAAAGCGGGUGUAGGCGGCCGCACAAGUCAGAUGUGAAAUCCCUGGGCCCAACCCAGGAACUGCAUUUGAUACUGCGUGGCUAGAGUCCCGGAGAGGAUGGCGGAAUUCCAGGUGUAGAGGUGAAAUUCGUAGAUAUCUGGAGGAACACCAGCGGCGAAGGCGGCCAUCUGGACGGUGACUGACGCUCAGACCCGAAAGCGUGGGGAGCAAACAGG